CAAUAAAAACAUAUUUUAAAAAAAUAAAAAUAAAGUAACAUCUCUAAUUUAAAAAAAGAAUGGAGAUCCCCUCAUAGGGCUGUUUGAGGAUCAAAUCAGAUGCCUGUUUGUGAGUUGCACACAUCAGAAUGUCUGGUACGCACCAGAAACAGCCUAUGAGCACUGAACACAUUAGAUAAAAUUUUGAAAUGUCACACGGAAGGAUUUAGGUAGCACGGUUGGCAUGAGCAGGCCCUGCCCCAGCAUGGCUGGGCCUGUGGCAUGACGUAGGCUCAUUCACGUGUGUCAGUCCUCUGUGGCCUCUCCCUCCUCCCGCACACCAGCCAGCCUUCUCUCUGGCAUGUGUCUUGCCUUUAUCUUCCGUAAGUCUUGUGAUUGGAAAAUUCCAGCUUAAGGUCAUUGAGCCAGUGACUAGUCACCCCGUGUGGUUAUUAUGGGGAACUAAAGGGAGGAGGGUCAAGAUGUACAGACCAACACUGGACAGACGUGUGAGGAACCAGCACACACUAAACACACAGGUGCACAGACACAUCCAUCGCUCCCAGAGCUGGGCUGGAAGUCAGUCGUUGAGCAUCCACAGAGACCAGCAUUUCUGGAGGGUAUGUUGUGCGGGUAAAGAUCCUCACCAACACUUCAAAGCUCACUAAGCUACUUGUAUUAUGUUACUUAAAUGCAACUUAAAAUUAAGCAGAAAUACCUUGUGCUUAUAACUCUUACAACUACAAAAUCAAAACAUCUACCGAUUAAGCAUGAAGUACAAAACACUAACAUUCAAAAUAAAAUGUAUUGGUAUCAUAUUUGGCUGAAACCAAAUUGCAGUUUGCCCUAUGAAUAGAAGACGGACUGCCCUGAGUAGCCACUUUUCGUGUCUGUUGGGUCUGGGUUAUAAGUAUCACUGAGAAAUGUAGGUAGGAACAUUCUAGUGGUUAAGAAUGUGGACUCAGAAGCCAGACUGCCUGAGUCUUCCUUAACCAGCUUUUUGACCUUGGACACGUUACUCAAUCUUUCUGACGUUGAAGUCCUCAUCUGUACAGCGGCGAUAAGGACGUUCUCACAGGAAUGCUGGGAAGAUUCAGUGAGUUAAGACAGUGCUUAGAGCAUUGCCUGAUGCACGGUGAAUGCCCCAUAGCUGGUGUUAAUGUCAUUUCCUGCUGAGAACGAAUGACGUCCGUUCUCCUUGUCUAUGAACUGCUGCAAGUGGCUGGUUAGUCGUAUCUGUCAGAUGUCAUCAUGAGGCCUUCCCGUGGGGGAAAUAAUUCUUAGCAUAUGCAGCCCACUUCAGUGCGUCUGUCAGUGGCCCUUGACUGCCCCCGGGCACCACCACCAGGAAAGGCCCCGUGUUCAGAAACCACUUGGCCGGGGUUCCUCCUUAGGUGGCCACCCAGAUCCCCCCGGCCGUGCUUGCUUCUGAUUUCACACAUACACACAUAGACACGUGUGCGUAUAGUUCAUAGACUUUUUCAGAUUGCUUCCCAAGGGAAAGCACAAAGUUUCAAACUUUUUCAUAGACAUGGACCACAGUGUGGGGAUUGCCAGGGAUGAGGUGGGGAGGGGGGUGGAGGAGAGUACAGGGGUGAUACAUGGUCAUGGAAGGAGACUGACCUGGGUGCUGAGUGCUGUGCGGUGGGAUUGUGCACCUGAAACCUGUAUAAUUUUGUUAACCAGUAUCACCCCAAUAAAUUCAAUUUAAAAAAGAGCUUUUACAUAUGAAAAAGAUUUUUUUUCACAGAACCACUGCCCAGAGCCAGACAGAAAGACUAUAGCAGUUUCACUGUUUCGUUUCUAUUUUCUUCAAAAUGUUUCAGUUUUCUUUCUUUUGCCUUGCCUUCAAAAUCUCAUCGCUAGCACUUUUUCCAGUUGAUGUGCCUGUCUCUCUUAUUCUCAUUGGGUCCCGAAGACCAGGACUGGUUCUGGUGAAGCUCCGUGAACUUGAUUUCACCUUGACCUUGGUUUCGCUUUUGUGGAAGCUCUAAUUUAUUGCACAAGCUUCUUGCUUUUUAGUGGCAUUUCUUUUUCCAUUAAGUCGCUCACUUUUUCUAACAUCCAAUCUACUGUGUCAUUAAAAUCUUUGUUAUAGAUUAGAAUUCAUUUAUAACUGAUAACCAUUGAUAGUGCUAGUAUUUCCAUAAUUCUCCUUUCCUUACAUUUUUAUAUUUGUGUACAUGGAGGCUAAGCAGUAUUAUCAGUGACAAUAAAACAGUUAUAAUAACCAAAAAA